rnacentral:rRNA from 1 species
GUCUGUGUGAGCACAAAUGCGCAGUCUGGCCUGCCCCCUGAAAGUUUUAAAGGGCCGCGGUAUUUGAACCGUGCUAAGGUAGCAUAAUAAAUAGUCUUUUAAUUGAGGUCUAGUAUGAAUGGUCGGACAGGAGGUAAGCUGUUUUAAUUGUAGAUUUUGAAUUUUACUUUUAAGUGAAAAGGCUUAAAUUAAAUAAUGGGACGAUAAGACCCUAUAAAGCUUUACAUUUUAUUUAUUAGUCGGAAAAUUUAUGGUUUUUUAUUCUUAUUAAAUAGAAAUGUUUCGUUGGGGCGACGAAAAUAUAAAAUAAUAACUGUUUUAAUAUAAAAAUAUGUUUUUAUAGGAGUACUGAUCCUUUUUAGAGAUUAAAAGAAUUAAGUUACUUUAGGGAUAACAGCGUAAUUUUUCUUGAGAGUCCAUAUCGACAGAAAUAGUUGCGACCUCGAUGUUGAAUUAAGAUUUCUUCAAGAUGUAGCAGUUUUGAUGGUAGGUCUGUUCGACCUUUAAAAUCUU